rnacentral:piRNA from 1 species
UGUUCAUGGACCUUUCAAUAGCAAUACGUU